GGCCUUGUGCAGAGAAUCUCAACUGAGAUAUGUUCAGCAUAUGUUUGCUCCAACAUCACAUCAAAUACCAAGCCACAAUCAAGCAGGAGUACAAGUAUGCACUUGAGAUCUCUCGAUUUAGAUUUAGAUGGGUAGUGGAGUCUGCCGAUCGAAGGGUUUCUGCCUGGUGGUGCUGAAUGGGUGGGUGCAUAUGCGUCUAGCAUUUCGCAUCCAUGGACGACAAUACGGAGAUCCAGCUUAUUCCUGGCCUGUUACUUAAGAAUGGGGCAUCGCUUGGCUAUCUUCUGCAGCACCGCCGCUGGAGCGACUUCUGCCAGGCAGCCCUAUGAAUAGCUCAGUUUCGACAUCCAUGUUGUCGUUGGUGGUGUUGAUGUUACGGUCCGGGUUCUCAUCUUCGGCCCGGACAGUCAAAGGAGCAGACAAGGGAGGCUGAUUCUUACACUGCACAAAGUUCAUGAUCAAGGGAAGCAAAUCAGCUUCAUCUCCUGGUCGAUGUUAAUGCAAAAAAGAGACAAACACGACAUUAGGAACAGAUGAUUGGUCCUGCGUUUCAGGUUAUAUAUAUA